GCGUUUUCCUCAGUUCUGUGGCGCGAGGUUUCUGCGGUCCGCUUCCGGGAAUAAAGAAGUCCUGGGCAGGUGUCCACCUCUCUUCUCCUUGGCUUGCUACAAAUACAGAGGCUAUUUUCCAGCAUGUCGUAGUGGCUGUGAGACUAGGUCUGACCAAUGAGUUACAAGAAGUCCACUGAUCCAUCUAUGAGAUUUUAUUUAUUUAUUUGAGAGAGAGAAUGAGAG